AGGAGGGGGUCACUCUCAGGAUUGCUGACAAGCACGAGAUCGUUUUUAGCUUUUGUAAUGGAAGUGUUUCACCAAGAAACCCAGACAAGAAAGAUGGGGUUGAGAAAAAGAAACCUCAAAGACAGAAGCGGGGAACAGAAGAGGAUUUAAAUGCUGGCAAAGUCUGGAGCUCUUGCCAGCCACGGAGCAAUGCGGGGUCAGGAAAUGGGCUAGCACUGCUCCCAUCCUCAUAGAAGACCACUGAUGAAGGCUGCUCAAGUUUUAACAACAAGCGUUACACACCACUUCAAGGAUGACCUACUGUUGUCCAAAAAGCCUGUCUGGAUGGUGUGCUUGGCCUGUAGGGUGCUGGGGUGCAAGGGCUGCAAAGGAAGGAGCUACCACGUCCAGAUUCAGUGCGAGUCACUCAGGAGACAGCUAGAUGGCUGGCAUGUUCACGUACUGACAGGCAACCCCAAAGCUGCACAGAUGCUAACUUUCUCCCUCUCCAGGAUGUGAAUUUGUUUAACAAACAGGCAAACGAGGACUUAAGGCCAUUGUAACAGACCGAGAAGAUCCAGGUAAACGCAUGUAGCAGCUUAAGAGCUUCUUCAGCUUCCCUCACAGCUCUCCUAAGAGGGUUUUGUCCUGUUAGCAGAACCGUGGUGGAACUAUAUUGACUAAAAUUCAAAUGAAAACUUUACAUAAAAAGCUACCCACCUAAACUUAAGGGCUUCAUCAUCUCUCCUUGGGAACUCAUUCAUCGGACCUUCAGAUCCAAGUCUACCCCACUGAGAACCCACAGUUCAACAGUCCCUAUCUGUCCUCACCAAGGUCACUGCCACAUAUCACUGUUGUUACCUUAACAUUAAUUUAAAAACUCUAAACUUCAAACACACACCAUAUUUUAUUGCUGUUGGUAUUAUGAACUAUUAAAAAGUAUUAGAUUAAGUUUUAAAAAUCAAUAUUAUAAUCAUUUGGUGCGCAAUCCCACACAUUUAACACUCAAUUUAACUCAUUUGCUAUCUCACACACAACCAACACAAUAUGCAAGAAACAACUGCUGGGAAUUGUUUCAGAUGCUCUAAAGUAUGUUAAUUUCCAAAGCAAAAUGACUUGCACUGUGAAUUUUAACGCACUUGAAAGCCUGUACUUUCUCUCGUUCUGGAACACAAAUUUUGCAUGUCUGAAGAGCUGUGAUUCAUCUUAAGAAAACCCAUCUUGUGUUAAAUGGAAUGGAAACUGGACUAAGUGGUCAAAUGACAAGUACAUUCAUAUUCAAGCUGUAUUAUAAAUGCAUGUACAGUAAUUUACGUCUCUCAGCUACCACAAAAGGCUCUUGAUAAGCAGGUAAUUUGCUAAAUGGACUCCUUUAUCCAAGUAUUCGAAGGGCGUUACAAGAAAAAUCUGCAGAGGCAUUAAUGUGACGUAAAGGUCAAGCAUUGUGACAUACCUUUCAA